rnacentral:rRNA from 1 species
UCAAGUGACUAAGUGCAUGCGGCGGAUGCCUUGGCGAUCACAGGCGAAGAAAGACGCGGCAGCCUGCGAAAAGCUGCGGGGAGCUGGCAAACGAGCUUUGAUCCGCAGAUAUCUGAAUGGGGGAACCCACACCGCAAGGUGUAUCCGUAGCUGAAUACAUAGGUUACGGAGGCGAACGAGGAGAACUGAAACAUCUAAGUAUCCUCAGGAAAAGAAAUCAACCGAGAUUCCGGCAGUAGCGGCGAGCGAACCCGGAGGAGCCCAGCUUUUGAUAGUACGAACUUUAGCCGAAAGGUCCUGGAAAGGCCUGCUAUAGUGGGUGAUAGCCCCGUAGGCGAAAGAGUUGGUACGGUACUAAGGAAGCGAGAAGUAGAGCGGGACACGUGGAAUCCUGUUCGAAGACGGGGGGACCAUCCUCCAAGGCUAAAUACUCGUGAUCGACCGAUAGUGAACCAGUACCGUGAGGGAAAGGCGAAAAGAACCCCGGGAGGGGAGUGAAAUAGAACCUGAAACCGCAUGCAUACAAACAGUAGGAGCCUUUACGGAGGUGACUGCGUACCUUUUGCAUAAUGGGUCAGCGACUUACAUUCUGUGGCGAGCUUAACCGAAUAGGGGAGGCGCAGCGAAAGCGAGUUCGAAAUGAGCGUCCAGUCGCAGGGUGUAGACCCGAAACCAGAUGAGCUAUCCAUGGCCAGGUUGAAGGUGUGGUAACACACACUGGAGGACCGAACCGACUAGUGUUGCAAAAUUAGCGGAUGAGCUGUGGAUAGGGGUGAAAGGCCAAACAAAUCUGGAGAUAGCUGGUUCUCCCCGAAAACUAUUGAGGUAGUGCCUCGUGUGUCGCUCCAGGGGGUAGAGCACUGUUUUGGCUAGGGGGACAUGGAGUCUUACCAAACCAAGGCAAACUCCGAAUACCUGGAAGCGUAAGCACGGGAGACAGAGCACCGGGUGCUAACGUCCGGACUCAAAAGGGAAACAACCCAGACCGCCGGCUAAGGUCCCAAAUAACAGCUAAGUGGAAAACGAAGUGGAAAGGCCGUGACAACCAGGAAGUUGGCUUAGAAGCAGCCAUCCUUCAAAGAAAGCGUAAUAGCUCACUGGUCGAGUCCUUCUGCGCGGAAGAUGUAACGGGGCUAAGCUGUUAACCGAAGCCGCGGAUGCACUGGUUAUCCAGUGCGUGGUAGGGGAGCGUUCUGUAAGUCUGCGAAGGCGGUUCGAGAGGACUGCUGGAGAUAUCAGAAGUGCGAAUGCUGACAUGAGUAACGUUAAAGCAGGUGAAAAGCCUGCUCGCCGUAAGCCCAAGGAUUCCUGCUCUACGUUCAUCGGAGCAGGGUGAGUCGGCUCCUAAGGUCAGGCCGAAAGGCGUAGCCGAUGGGAAUCAGGUUAAUAUUCCUGAACCUGCGUCAGAUGCGAUGGGGGGACGGAGCAUGGAAGAUCAUCCGGGUGUUGGAAGUCCCGGUUGUUUAGCGUAGGAGGUCUGCAGGCAAAUCCGCAGACGCAUCUCCAAGGCAAAGACACGUGCCGCCACGGCGGCGAAGUGAUCGGAAGUGCUUCCAAGAAAAGCCUCUAAGCCCCAGUCUGACGCGGACCGUACCGCAAACCGACACUGGUGGGCGAGCUGAAUAUGCUCAGGCGCUUGAGAGAACUCGGGAGAAGGAACUCGGCAAAUUGACACCGUAACUUCGGAAGAAGGUGUGCCGUAGUACCGUGAGAGGAGAGACACCUUGAGCGGGAAACGGUCUCAGAGAAUAGGUGGCUGCGACUGUUUAUUAAAAACACAGCACUCUGCAAAGUCGAAAGACGACGUAUAGGGUGUGAUGCCUGCCCGGUGCUGGAAGAUUAAUUGAUGGGGUGAGAGCCCUUGAUCGAAGUCCCAGUAAACGGCGGCCGUAACUAUAACGGUCCUAAGGUAGCGAAAUUCCUUGUC